rnacentral:rRNA from 1 species
UUGACCUCGGAUCAGGUAGGAGUUACCCGCUGAACUUAAGCAUAUCAAUAAGCGGAGGAAAAGAAACCAACCGGGAUUGCCUCAGUAACGGCGAGUGAAGCGGCAAGAGCUCAAAUUUGAAAUCUGGCCCCUUUGGGGUCCGAGUUGUAAUUUGCAGAGGAUGCUUCGGGUGCGGUCCCCGUCUAAGUGCCCUGGAACGGGCCGUCAUAGAGGGUGAGAAUCCCGUCUGGGAUGGGCGGCCGUGCCCGUGUGAAGCUCCUUCGACGAGUCGAGUUGUUUGGGAAUGCAGCUCUAAGUGGGUGGUAAAUUUCAUCUAAAGCUAAAUACUGGCCGGAGACCGAUAGCGCACAAGUAGAGUGAUCGAAAGAUGAAAAGCACUUUGAAAAGAGAGUUAAACAGCACGUGAAAUUGUUGAAAGGGAAGCGUUGUCCACCAGACUCGCCCGGGGGGGCUCAGCCGGCACGUGUGCCGGUGUACUCCUCUCCGGGCGGGCCAGCAUCGGUUUGGGCGGCUGGUGAAAGGCCCCGGGAAUGUAACACCCUCCGGGGUGCCUUAUAGCCCGGGGUGCCAUGCGGC